AUUGAACGCUGGCGGCAGGCUUAACACAUGCAAGUCGAGCGAGCGGCGGACGGGUGAGUAAUGUCUGGGAAACUGCCUGAUGGAGGGGGAUAAUUACUGGAAACGGUAGCUAAUACCGCAUACCAUCAGAUGUGCCCAGAUGGGAUUAGCUAGGAGGUGGGGUAAUGGCUAACCUAGGCGACGAUCCCGAGCUGGUCGGAGAGGAGGACCAGCCACACUGGAGCGGAGACACGGUCCAGACUCCUACGGGAGGCAGCAGUGGAGAAUAUUGCACAAUGGGCGCGAGCCUGAUGCAGCCAUGCCGCGUGUAUGAAGAAGGCCUUCGGGUUGUAAAGUACUUUCAGCGGGGAGGCGUUACCCGCAGAAGAAGCACCGGCUAACUCCGUGCCAGCAGCCGCGGUAAUUC
rnacentral:rRNA from 1 species